rnacentral:misc_RNA from 1 species
UUUUUCAAGCAUUUCAAAGUUGGUGUUCAUUAAAUCAAACCCUGCUUUCACGGUAUUUCAAAUCUAACAAAAACCCAAUUAAUGCUCUAAUUGAUUUUUGGAAAGUUCCCCUUAAUCUUCUUAGCUUAUUUCUAACACCAAGAAAAUAAAGUUUAUUGCAAGAUUAUCCAUCCCCAAUAUUCACUUUUCAGUCCAUCUAUUAAGGAUUAAAGCUUAACUUAAUGAGGACCCAUUCAUCAAGCAAGGCAACAAGCUCACAAGCAAUAAAUCAAAAUGUAACAAAUCACAUUUAAAUGACUAAAUCAGUUUAAAACCACAAUACAAAACAAUAUUUACAGACCUAUCUCUAGAAUCUCUAAGUUCUACUCACAAAUCAUAGUUUCAAGACAAACCCAAAUAUAGAAAUGAAGAAGAAAUAAAAAUCUAAGCUAAGGGAUAGAAAAACUCAGUGAAAAUGGUGAAGAAAUUGCUGCUGGAAUGUUGAAGAAGGCGUCCUCUUCAGCUGCUGCAACCCGAUUUCACAUGCUCCUCUUUCUUCCUCUCUUUCUUGCAAAAUCUCUCUAUUUUUCUCCUUAUGGAAAGAAAGAGAAAAAUGUAUUUAUAUAUGAUUCGGAGGUUUGCCCUAGAAUGGGUUAAAAGAUAGAAGAUUCUGGAGAAAAUGAUGUAUUAAAUCAAAGGAGCAAAAGUGUCACAUCAGCAAUUUUUAUUAAAACGUCACAAGCUGAAUCGGUUGUGUUGCGCCUUAUGUUGUAAGUUGUGUAACUUUCUGCCUGAGAAAAGCUUCAUAUCUGACAAUGACACAACCUUCUUUGGACCGCACCAGAGGGCUGCUUAUGUACCUCAUAUGGAGGAUCAGGUCCACGUAGCUCUUAAAUUUUGAGCUAUAUGAAUCGAAGCUGAAAUUUCUGUAUCUCUGCUCAUGAAAUCUGUUUCCCCUUCAUAUUUUGCCAAAUCAAAACCUCAAUAAGGUAAUUGUGUAAUUUGAGGCAACGAUGGAAGGGCUGAUGGGCAGCAAUGGCAUUUGAACUUACGAGGGCAGCAAUAACAGUUCCUUCUCCCUUUGAUUUGCGUAUUUCUACAUUGAAAACUCAAUAAGGAAAUUUGAUUAGAGCUAAAAAAGUGCAAGAGUUCUGAUUUUAUGGUGGAAGAAAGUCAAAAUUGGUUAGAAAAAUAUGGAUUUGGGUGGGUUUACUACUGCUGCCUCCUCUUCUAUUUUGCUCCCUCUGUUUUUCUUUUUCCCCCCAAUUCUCCUCUUCUCCUUUUCCCCGUUUC